rnacentral:rRNA from 1 species
CUUGGUCAUUUAGAGGAAGUAAAAGUCGUAACAAGGUUUCCGUAGGUGAACUUGCGGAAGGAUCAUUAGUGAACGCCCUCACGGGCUUAUAACUAUUCCAAACCUCUGUGAACCGUGCCCUUCGGGGCUAUUUUACAAACAUGGUGUAAUGAACGUCAUAUAUCAUAACAAAACAAAACUUUCAACAACGGAUCUCUUGGCUCUCGCAUCGAUGAAGAACGCAGCGAAAUGCGAUAAGUAAUGUGAAUUGCAGAAUUCAGUGAAUCAUCGAAUCUUUGAACGCACCUUGCGCCCUCUGGUAUUCCGGAGGGCAUGCCUGUUUGAGUGUCAUGUAGACUCAAUCCCUCGGGUUUCCGAGGAGAUUGGACUUGGGUGUUGCCGCUCUGCCGGCUCGCCUUAAAAGACUUAGCGGGAUAGCACCGUAGUCGGCGUAAUAAGUUUCGUCGGUGAAGGUUGUGAUGACUGCUUACAAUCGCCCUCGGGCAAUUUUUGACUCUGACCUCAAAUCAGGUAGGACUACCCGCUGAACUUAAGCAUAUCAAUAAGCGGAGGA